ensembl:lncRNA
CUCCAUUGUGAGUGCUUACCUCAGAUUAAAGUCCUAACAAAGGACUCGCUUCAAAAUUUAAUCAAUCAGGUAACAGUGUGACCAAACCAAGGGUUCACUGCCAGAGGCUCACAGACUCCAGUAUUGUGGCACUGGUUUUUGAGAGGUCCACCUGCAAGGAGACGGGAGGAGGGGCUCAAAUAUAUCUUCCCAGUCUGGGAUGAGGUCAGGCAUAUUAUGAAUUGGAGAGCAGGGCUAGUAUGCAGAAGCACUGGCGGGGCAGGUUCCCACUGGAGGGCUUUGGGAUUUGGCCAUUCAGCGACUAAACAACAACAUAGUAAAGAGGCUUCAGCACACAAUCUUCUGAGGUUUCAGACCAUUCACUUCUUCAGGCUCUGGUCAAGUUCUGGACCUUUGGUUUCCCAAAACUUUGAUUCCAGGUAGUGUUUAGGUCUAUGGGGUCGCACAGAGUCGGGCACAACUGAAGCGACUUAGCAGCAGCAGCAGUGUUUAAGGUUAUAAUUUUUCCUCCAUGCAUGCUCCAGCUAUGUGACUUGCAAUUUUGUUGCUUUUCUGCAAAACACCGAAACACUGCAGCAUCUUGUUAGGAACAGGACAAAGCCGGUUUGGGGCUGGUUCUGUGGCUACUAGCUUCCCUUUUGGCUCAGCUGGUAAAGAAUCUGCCUCCAAUGGGGGAGACCUGGGUUCUAUCCCUGGGUUGGGAAAAUCCCCUGGAGAAGGAAAAGGCUACCCACUCCAGUAUUCUGGCUUGGAGUAUUCCAUGGACUGCAUAAGGUCAGACAGGACUGAGCGACUUUCACUUUCUGUGGUUACAGGAGCCUGUUAUGAUGUGAUUUCCGUUGUGUUAUGAUUUCUACUCAUCGUGUGUGAAACUCAGAAGAUUUUAGCUGAGUACAACAAUAAUUCAAAACAGAGUCACAGCGGCCAGUGUGGACUGCCAUUGUUAGUUGUUUUGAAACGUCCAGUAGAGGACGGUGAGGGUGUUGUUUUAGAUAAUAAAUUUGUCCAAUAAUGUCCAUGGAAAGACUUCACUGAAACUGAAGGGGAUCUCACUGAGGCAAGACCCCAGAGGGCAUAAUUGUUUCACCCUACCAGCGGACUCGUACAACGAGGCCAUGAAUGAAUUGAGCAGACUUGAAGCUAUCGAGAGCUGUUCCAAAGGGAUGCUGCCAGAAGCUCUGUCAGUACAGAAGGCACCUUCCGGAUGAGCGUGAGACCUGUUGCUGAGCUGGAGACCAUCUGUCAGGCUGAGACGCCACUUCCCGGGUCUCUCGCCAGAGUGAUUCUUCAAGGGUGUACUGCUUUUCUUAAGACAAAUACCAAAAUAUCUAAAGUGGCUACCAGGAUCCUACAAGGUCUAGCUUCAACACACCUUUACCUCGCAAUGAUCCUUUUGGUCCAUCCUGGCCCUUUUGAUGGAAACUUAUGCAGUUCUAGUCAAGGCUAUGGUUUUUCCUGUGGUCAUGUAUGGAUGUGAGAGUUGGAUUGUGAAGAAGGCUGAGCGCCGAAGAAUUGAUGCAUUUGAACUGUGGUGUUGGAGAAGGCUCUUGAGAGUCCCUUGGACUGCAAGGAGAUCCAACCAGUCCAUUCUGAAGGAGAUCAGCCCUGGGAUUUCUUUGGAAGGAAUGAUGCUGAAGCUGAAACUCCAGUACUUUGGCCACCUCAUGCAAAGAGUUGACUCAUUGGAAAAGACUCUGAUGCUGGGAGGGAUUGGGGGCAGGAGGAGAAGGGGAUGACAGAGGAUGAGAUGGCUGGAUGGCAUCACUGACUCGAUAGGCGUGAGUCUGAGCGAACUCCAGGAGUUGGUGAUGGACAGGGAGGCCUGGCGUGCUGCGAUUCAUGGGGUCUCAGAGUCGGACACGACUGAGCAAUUGAACUGAACUGAACUAUGCAGUUCCUCUGCUUGAAAACCUCUUCCCUGACCCCACGCCCCAGCUACCCUCCAUUCACCCAGUUAACUCCCAUAAAUCUCACAGCAUUUAUUUCUUCCUCAGGGAAGCCUUCCCUGACGUUUGUCACUUACUCUUAAAGCACCAUAUGGUUUUCCUUUUUAACCAUUGCAUCCUUUGUAAUUUAAUUUUUAUCUGAAUCAUUAUGUGCGCAAUAUCUUCCUACUUAGAAAGUAAGUCCCAUUGCAUUCCAGCAAUGAGCACAAUGACAGUUUACAUAGCAGGUUUUUAUUAAUAUUUGUUGAGUGAAUCAGUAAAUAGAAAGGACUUGUCAUUGUGUUUUAGUGGAACAGAAAACAGCUUUCAUUUCCUCCCCUUUUUGCAUUUGUUCUUUUC